AUAUGGCAAGUGAUGAUUCCUGAUAAACUAAUGGGUAAUUUGCGUCUGAAAUAUCAUUGAUGCUAUCACCUAGCAUAGCUGAUGCCUUAU